GACGAACGCUGGCGGCGUGCCUAAUACAUGCAAGUUGAGCGCUGAAGGUUGGUACUUGUACCAACUGGAUGAGCAGCGAACGGGUGAGUAACGCGUGGGGAAUCUGCCUUUGAGCGGGGGACAACAUUUGGAAACGAAUGCUAAUACCGCAUAAAAACUUUAAACACAAGUUUUAAGUUUGAAAGAUGCAAUUGCCUCACUCAAAGAUGAUCCCGCGUUGUAUUAGCUAGUUGGUGAGGUAAAGGCUCACCAAGGCGAUGAUACAUAGCCGACCUGAGAGGGUGGUCGGCCAAAUUGGGACUGGGACACGGCCCAAGAUCCUAAGGGAGGCAGCAGUAGGGGAUCUUCGGCAAUGGACGAAAGUCUGACCGAGCAACGCCGGGUGAGGGAAGAAAGUUUUCGGAUCGGAAAACUCGGUUGGUAGAGAAGAACGUUGGUGAGAGUGGAAAGCUCAUCAAGUGACGGUAACUACCCAAAAAGGAACGGCUAACUACGUG
rnacentral:rRNA from 1 species